UUUGCUUAAAAUAAAAGGUCCAGCCUGCCCAGUGACACUGUUCAACGGCCGCGGUAUCCUAACCGUGCGAAGGUAGCGUAAUCACUUGUUCUUUAAAUGAGGACUAGUAUGAAAGGCACCACGAGAGUCAUACUGUCUCCUCUCUCCAAUCAGUUAAACUAAUCUCCCCGUGAAGAAGCGAGGAUAACUAUAUAAGACGAGAAGACCCUAUGGAGCUUUAAACGAAUAACACUUGCCCACUUACUCCUUUAAAUUUCAGAAAAAUCUAUUACCUUGGCAUCAUGCUUAUAAGUUUUUGAUUGGGGUGAUCACGGAACAAAAAAUAACCUCCGCAAUGAAAGACUCUCCAUAACUAAGUCAAGAACCACAACUCUACACAUCAACAAAUUGACACCAAUUGACCCAAUUUUUUGAUCAAUGAAC
rnacentral:rRNA from 1 species